AAAAAAAAAAAAGAAAAAAAAACAGCAAGCCAUAUUUUGUUAUAUUUCACUGCAUUCUUAAGCCUUACUGUUCCAUAUUUCGAGAUGAGGAUAUUUAUGUUUUUCUGUGUGCUUGAAUGAGCCACUCUCUAUUACUUAGGUUGCAACAAUGUGAAAGGUAAAUCAUCGUAUCAUGUACCUAGUUGUGUGAGUUCCUUGUUUCUAAUUUACAUGAAUUUAUCAAUAUUUUAUGUCAGUGUGCUUUUGUACUAGAUUACUAUCUUGUGAUGCCUGAGAACAAUAGCUAUUGCCUUAAUUGACUGUUCUUUUUAAUUCUUAAGUUCAUUGAUUUAUGCAAUGGUUUGUGGUUUCCACCCAUUAGGUGCAAGUUUAAGCCUCAAGAGAAGCUACUUUAUAUAAAAUUGCAGAAGGGUAGAUUUGUCUUUUGGCUCUUGUACAUGUGAGUAACUCUUGGUGGGAUAAUUAAAUGAUAAAUUACCUUUUUUUUGCUCUCUUGUUUCUCUCUCUCUCUUAUGUGUUGAGGGGUAAAUAAAACUCCAUGCAACUAGCUUGUUUUGCACUUAAAAUUGAAAAAGCCAGCUAUUGAUUUGUAUAAUUGCUUGUUAAGUGCAAGUAAGAUGAUGUAUAUACUAUAUAGUUCUUCAUUGAAAGCUGUACCAAUAGCCAUAAUGAGUGAUGUAGUUCUUUCUAUAUCUUGAGCUAUUUCUAUUUAUGGAGUUUUAGAGGAAACACAAAGAAAUACUGGUUUUGACACCUAGAUUAAUGCUGCGAGGAUAUAAUGUACACCUUUUAUGGUGUAUUCUAAAUAUUUUCUUUUAUAAGUAAAAAAAACCCCAAACUAACUAAUUAAUUCCCAGACUUGAAAAUUGAAAAUACAAGAAUCAUUUCAAAUGUUUUUGUAAAAUUUCAAUAUGAUAUACUGAAUGACUUAAGGGAGAGAUUUUUCUUUUUU
rnacentral:misc_RNA from 1 species